rnacentral:sRNA from 1 species
AUGUACCACCCUUAUACUCCGGUUCCUGCGCGCUGUCCGCACCCACCUGACGACCGCUCGCUACGUUUUGGUAGCC